rnacentral:lncRNA from 1 species
UUUGCAGGAAUGACACUACAAAGCUCCAGUAAAGAAGAGAGAGACUUUGAUUUGUGACACUACAAGCUUGGACACCCUUCAUUCAAAUCUUAUUUUGAUUUUGAUAUGUUAGCAAACAAAGAGUCUAAGUUAUGUUAUGUACAUCCAUUGGCAAAGAUGCAUGAACUUUCAUUUUUUUAUAGUAGUAAUAAAGAAUAACAAUGUUUUGAUUUAAUACAUUGCGAUACUUGGGGAUCUUGUAAUGAAAUUUCUUAUGAUG